GACGUAGGGCGCGAGCGUUGUCCGGAUUUACUGGGCGUAAAGGGCGCGUAGGCGGUCAGCACAAGUCAGUUGUGAAAUCUCCGGGCUUAACUCGGAAAGGUCAACUGAUACUGUGCGACUAGAGUGCAGAAGGGGGCAACUGGAAUUCCUGGUGUAGCGGUGAAAUGCGUAGAUAUCGUAAGGAAGACCAGUGGCGAAGGCGGAUCUCUGGGCCUGUUCUGACGCUGAGGCGCGAAAGCUAGGGGAGCGAACAGG
rnacentral:rRNA from 1 species